rnacentral:rRNA from 1 species
UGGUAAGAAUGCUUUACACAUGCAAGUCGAUUCGAUUUACCUUCGGGUAUUGAGGAUGGCGGACGGGUGAGUAACGCGUAAGGAACUUGCCUCUUGGUCUGGGACAACUGUUGGAAACGACAGCUAAUACCGGAUAUUAUGAGAUUCUCGCAUGGGAAACUUAUGAAAGCUAUAUGCGCCAAGAGAGAGCCUUGCGUUCCAUUAGCUAGUUGGUGGGGUAACGGCCCACCAAGGCGACGAUGGAUAGCCGGCCUGAGAGGGUGAACGGCCACAAGGGGACUGAGACACGGCCCUUACUCCUACGGGAGGCAGCAGUGGGGAAUAUUGGACAAUGGGCCACAAGCCUGAUCCAGCAAUUCUGUGUGCACGAUGAAGGUCUUCGGAUUGUAAAGUGCUUUCAGUUGGGAAGAAGAAAGUGACGGUACCAACAGAAGAAGCGACGGCUAAAUACGUGCCAGCAGCCGCGGUAAUACGUAUGUCGCAAGCGUUAUCCGGAUUUAUUGGGCGUAAAGCGCGUCUAGGCGGAAAAAUAAGUCUGAUGUUAAAAUGCGGGGCUCAACUCUGUAUUGCGUUGGAAACUGUUUUUCUAGAGUACUGGAGAGGUGGGCGGAACUACAAGUGUAGAGGUGAAAUUCGUAGAUAUUUGUAGGAAUGCCGAUGGAGAAGUCAGCUCACUGGACAGAUACUGACGCUGAAGCGCGAAAGCGUGGGGAGCAAACAGGAUUAGAUACCCUGGUAGUCCACGCCGUAAACGAUGAUCACUAGGUGUUGGGGGUCGAACCUCAGCGCCCAGGCUAACGCGAUAAUUGAUCCGCCUGCGGAGUACGCACGCAAGUGUGAAACUCGGAGGAUUUGACGGGGACCCUCCCAAGCGUUGCAGCAUGGUGGUUGAUUUCGACGCCGCUGUGAGAGGCCUUGCCGGCGGUUGUGCUUCCUGGGAAGUUCCCAGAGAGGGAUUCGUUGCGUGUUGGCGG